GAAGAACUCAGUGAGAGGAACACUUAUCUGCUCCUUUGAGGCCUGAGAUUUUCUUUGGUAUUAACAAAUCUAGGAAUUUCCAACUAGACAAUUACAUCAUCACUUGCUGCCCUAGAUCUCAGGGGAGAGAAACUUUCCAUUCUUUCAAGAACCCAAGGAUAAAAGGGACUAGAGGAUACAAUGCCCAAACAAUUAUAAAUGGAGACCUAAGGUAUACUGAUUGGACGCACACUAAAAGGAGGUGACAGACUUAAUGUGUUAGGAAAACAGAGACAAGAAUUGAAUUUAUUUCAUGCCA
rnacentral:lncRNA from 1 species